UGCGCAGGUGGGGAUGUAAGUCAGUGGUGAAAUGUUGCCGCUCAACGGUAAAAUUGCCAUUGAUACUGCAUCUCUUGAGUAUGGUUGAGGUAGGCGGAAUGUGUUGUGUAGCGGUGAAAUGCAUAGAUAUGACACAGAACGCCGAUUGCGAAGGCAGCUUACUAAGCCAUUAUUGACGCUGAGGCACGAAAGCGUGGGGAGCGAACAGGAUUAGAUACCCUGGUAGUCC
rnacentral:rRNA from 1 species